rnacentral:lncRNA from 1 species
CAUAAAGUUAUGGGUAAACCCACUACAUUUUUAAAUUAUGUAAAUGAAGAAGCAAAGGACACUCCCCCCCAACACCCUCUGUACCCACCGUCAAGGCCCUGCAGACACCACUUGCCUCUCUUCCAUUCUCGCCCACCGAAUGCAGCUGCUGUUAACAGGUUGUCACACCUCCUUCCAGACAUUUUUAUGCCUAUAUAUAAUCAGCGUUCUAGAAAUUUCCCUCUGGCACCUGUGCAAAGCAUGGAUGGAAUGGGGCCAGCCCAGAGCAGGAAGCCCCGUCAGGAGGUUGCUACAGUAAUUCAGCUCUUGGAAGAUUUCCAUCAAAAUAAAAGUAACUUAGUAUCUUACCAUACAUUUUAAGCCCAGUUACAGUUUCAGACACAAAGAUGGAUAGUGUUGAAAGCUUUUGUGAUAGGGGCCAGGAAAAUUAAAUUUUCCAAACAUCAUUUAUUUCCCAGAUUUGUAUGAGGGAGCCAGAUUAGGGGCUGAGGUGGUAGCUAAUGCUCUCCGUCCUUACCUUCCUCCCCUCGCUUUCCCGGGAGAAACAUUGGGGCAGAAGCACAGAGACUAGAGGCUAGAUGGAGAGAGAGACUGGGGAGCUGGUGAGAAGUGUGGAGUUGUUUUCCCAUCUCCAACCAAGUCAGGCUGCUCAGGGCAUACUGAGGAGCCUUGGGGGUCUACAGCCAAGCCAUGGGGCCUGUGGGUGUUUAGAAAAGCCUGAACAGUGGACAUUGCAGCAGAACCUCUUGGAGCGGGAGCUGAGGGCCCGUCAGCAAUACUGGCAGCUCCAG